AAAAUAUCCUGCCCUGUAACGAGAUGGGAAGACUGUUGAACAUUCCAUCCAACUCCUAUUCGGACAUGUACACGUCGUGCAGGGUGGUAACAUGGGCCCGAGUCCAACCAUUUGGCUGGAUGAAGGCUCAUGGCUACGAAGGAAGAG
rnacentral:ribozyme from 1 species